rnacentral:rRNA from 1 species
GACGAAAGCUGGCCUUCGUGUUUAAACAUGUAAGUCGAACGGAAAGGCCCUGCUUUUGUGGGGUGCUCGAGUGGCGAACGGGUGAGUAACACGUGAGUAACCUGCCCUUGACUUUGGGAUAACUUCACGAAACUGGGGCUAAUACCGGAUAGGAGCUCCUGCUGCAUGGUGGGGGUUGGAAAGUUUCGGCGGUUGGGGAUGGACUCGCGGCUUAUCAGCUUGGUGGUGGGGUAGUGGCUUACCCAGGCUUUUGACGGGUAGCCCGCCUGAGAGGGUGACCGGCCACAUUGGGACUUACAUACCGCCCCCACUCUCUCGGGAGGCAGCAGUGGGGAAUAUUGCCCAAUGGGCGGAACCCUGAUGCCGCACCGCCCCGUGCGGGAUGACGGCCUUCGGGUUGCAAACCCCUUUCGCCUGGGACCAAUCGGGAGUGACCGUAAUGGGUAAAGAAGCCCCGGCUAUUUACGUCCCAACAGGCGCGGUGAUACUUAGGGUGCAACCUUGUUCCGAUUUAUUGGGGCGAAAAGGGUUCGUAGGUGGUGAUUCGCGUCGGAAGUGUAAUCUGGGGGUUUAACCUUGAGCGGGCUUUCGAUACGGGUGACCUUGANGGAAGUAGGGAGAAAUGAAAUUCCUGUGGAAGCGUUGGAAUGCGCAGAUAUCAGGAGGAACAUCAGUGGCGAAGGCGGGUUCUCUUGGCCUUUCCCUGACGCUGAGGAGCGAAAGCGUGGGGAGCGAACAGGCUUAGAUACCCUGGUAGUCCACGCUGUAAACGGUGGGUACUAGGUGUGGGGUCCAUUCCACGGGUUCCGUGCCGUAGCUAACGCUUUAAGUACCCCGCCUGGGGAGUACGGCCGCAAGGCUAAAACUCAAAGGAAUUGACGGGGCCCCGCACAAGCGGCGGAGCAUGCGGAUUAAUUCGAUGCAACGCGUAGAACCUUACCUGGGUUUGACAUGGAUCGGGAGUGCUCAGAGAUGGGUGUGCCUCUUUUGGGGUCGGUUCACAGGUGGUGCAUGGCUGUCGUCAGCUCGUGUCGUGAGAUGUUGGGUUAAGUCCCGCAACGAGCGCAACCCUUGUUCACUGUUGCCAGCACGUUAUGGUGGGGACUCAGUGGAGACCGCCGGGGUCAACUCGGAGGAAGGUGGGGAUGACGUCAAGUCAUCAUGCCCCUUAUGUCCAGGGCUUCACGCAUGCUACAAUGGCUGGUACAGAGAGUGGCGAGCCUGUGAGGGUGAGCGAAUCUCGGAAAGCCGGUCUCAGUUCGGAUUGGGGUCUGCAACUCGACCUCAUGAAGUCGGAGUCGCUAGUAAUCGCAGAUCAGCAACGCUGCGGUGAAUACGUUCCCGGGGCU